UGAGGAACAUGACUUUCGGUGGGGGAGUAGCCGGCCCAACAGCCGGAUAAUACCGCGUACGACCUUUUGGGGACAUCCCCGAGGGGUGAAAGCAGCAAUGCGCCGAUGGAGUGCCUCGCGGCCUAUCAGCUAGUUGGUGGGGUAAUGGCUCACCAAGGCGACGACGGGUAGCUGGUCUGAGAGGAUGGCCAGCCACAUUGGGACUGAGACACGGCCCAGACUCCUACGGGAGCAG
rnacentral:rRNA from 1 species